UUUCAUCAUGAUGGUUUUGUUUUGUAGAAGAAAAGAAAGGAACGGAUGGAGAAGAAGAAAAGAAAGGAAUAAAAAAAGGAAAGGAAUAAAAAAUAGAUGAAAGAAGAAUAAGAGGGAGAGUAGGUCAGAGAGGUGGAGCACUGACGGAUUAAAAGAAGAAAAGAAGAGGAAGUGGACAGCAGUGCAGAGAGGAAAAAAAGGAAUAAAAGAAAAACAAAGGAAAAGAACAAGGGGGAGAGCGGAAAGAAUAAGAAAAUAAAGGGGAGAGAAGUGAGGGCAGAGGGCAGCACGGAAGGAAGAGGAGAGAACUGACAGGAAGCUGCCUUGCAGCACGAGAAGGGCGCAGACGGGUUGGGCAGCGAGAAAGGCAGAGAGAAGCAGCAAGGCUGCAGAGAAGAACAAAAACAAAGGCAGAAAAUAAAGAGGAGAGACAGCUGCCUUGCGGCAGCAGAAAACGGAAAAAAGAGAGGCGGAAAGGAAAUUGGGCGGAGAGGAGCUGCCUUUGGCAGCGUGGAGGUCAGGAAGAAGGUCAGGUAGGGAGAGAGAGAAGAGACUGACACGGACGCGGAAAGGAAAGCAGGGUAGGACAGGGAGAUAGACACGGGGAGGUCAGCGAGAAGAAAAAGACGAAGGCUGCCCUUGGCAGCGCAGAAAUAUAGGAGAAGGGAGCCUCGGUGCAGGUGCCUUGCGGUGCAUGUAGCUGGCGGUGCAAAGACAAGAAACAAAGGCUGCUCUUGCAGCAGAGGACACGAGGUUGCUGCUUCCUCUCGGCAUCUGGCAGCGUGAGCACUUGGAAAGGUUUGUGCAAUGUGAAUGACUGAGAGAAACAAGAGCUGCCCCGUGGCAGCUGGUGGGAGCAAAACAGAAGCUCCAAAGCAAGGAAAGGAAAACAGAAGCCACGGACAGAAGCAAAAAAAAAAAACUCCCUUAUCUUCCGGUUAAAUCUUUCCAAACUUAUAUUUUAUUUUCUGUUUUAAUAAUGUGUAACUAAAUUUAUUUUGGCUAGAGGUUAAUUCAAAGCCAUGAAUAUAUUUGUAAUAUGAAUUGAUUACCUUCAGUUGUGAUUUCUGAGUUGUGAUUUAAUUUGCUUAACUGCUUGAUUUUUAUAACUUAUUUUUGUAUGUCGAUUAAGGAUGCAUACUUAAUUUACAUGCAUGAAUUUGAUGCUAGAAUAUAAGUGAAUUUCACCUAAUCGUUAUGAACUUAUAUUCACAAGUAGUGAAGGUUGCUAGUCACAAUCACGUUAAGUAAAUUCUUGGCAUAAGUUUCAUGCAAAUCAUAGUAACGAGUGCCUCGUCAAUGCUUAUGUUUUUCAUAGAACUUAAUGAUUCUUGCUUGUAUCUCUAUUAUGCAAUUCAUGUAGGGAACUUGUAGGGAAUGUUUUGGGUUGUCGUAUGCAAUCAUCCAACCCAAUAACAUUGUGGAAAAACUGAGGGUUAAUUAGUGCAAUUCACGGUUAAUUUGGGGCGUUGAGAUUUACAAUUUAUUGAAAGAACAACUGAAAAUCAAUUUAGGUUGCAUAUGUGUCAUGUGUGGAGAAGAACCCUCUAGCUAAUCCGUCACUUAUCAUUUCACCUUAAUUUCAUGCUUUUGUCAAUUCUGUAAUUUAUUUAAGUUUAAUUUACGUCUCGUCAAAACCAAACCCCCCAUUAUUAAAUUAUAUUAUUUAGUUAGUUUUCAUUGUUGUUAGUCUUUUAAUUUAAUUUCCGUCCAUUUCAGUUCCUAGUGUCUAAAUUGAUUGUUUUCAUUAUGUUGAGUCAUUCUAAGUGUGUUUCGAGUUAUUAGAGUUUUUAGCCUAGUUUUGUGUCCUUGAGUAUUAUUUAAUAUUUUUAAUAGAUUAGCAAUCCCUCCUAAUCCCCGGCCUAGAACGAUACCCUACUUACAUCUAUACUACAAUUGUCAAAAAGAUGGUUUAAUUUGUGUGCUUAUAUAUUUCGCAUCAAAUUUUGGCGCCGUUGCCGGGGAUUAGCAACUUUGCUAAUCCCUUUAUUUUUGUUUUUGUUUAUGUUUAUAUUGGUGUUUGUGUAUUUUACUUUUGAUAUUUGAUUUAUUUUUCUUUCUUUGAUUUUAGGUACAAAUGGAGCAAGACAUGGCAAUUGCGACCAUUCAAGCUCAAUUGGCACAGCUCACUGCUCAAUUGACUCAUAAUGCCGAACGGACCACAAUGCCAAGUGUCCCUACACUUGAUGUGCCCUAUGGGCAAAGAUAUCAAAGUCCUCAAUUUUCUGCCAAUGAAGAUGCUUGGGGUUAUCAAGGCUAUGAUCAACCAAGCAGCAACAUGUUUUCCAACGCUUACAAUUCGGCUUGAAGAGAUCAUUCAAAUUAUAUGUGGGGGGAACCUCAACAAUUCCAACAAGAGGGAUAUUGGCAGCAAGAGGAGGAUUUCUAUUCAAAACCUAUGCAAUAUGCUCAAUCAAACUCAGGUUAUUGGCAGCAAGAGGAGGAUUUAUAAUCAAAUUCUUAAUGAAUUAAAUUCUUUGGUGCAGGGCUCACAAAAUCAAGACAAGAAGUUGGAUAAAUUGAAGAGUCAAAUGGGAGAGAUUAUGGAAUUCAUGGUACAAAUUCAAGAGCAAAGUGAACUCUCCAGCCCAACUGUUGAAAAUUUGAAGGAAGAUUUUGAAAUCCACGAUGCUAUCACUUUGGAAGGUGACAUGAAGGAUGAAGCUGUCUAGAACCAUCCAAACACAGCCCGAACAUGGAUGAAUUGCUGCUGCAGCAGAAGAGGAGGAGGACGACCUGGGCAGUUUAGAAGAAUUCUUGCUGCAAGCUCCUCAAAUCCCUAUGUCAUCCAACUCAGGUGAGGAAGUUCUAAAUUCACUUCAUUCUAACAUUAUUCCACCGAAUGUCCUUUGUCCUUGCAGGUUUUUGAUUCCAAAUAUCAAAGAGAGUGAAAAAGACAUUGUGGAAGCUCUUCCAAAGGUGCAAAGUGAUAUCCCAAUUCUUGGUGCACCAAAACAAGUUCCCGAUGGUAUUGAAACGUUCAAAGAACCUUGCACACCAAGAAAAGGGAUUCAAGAGAAUGAAGUGGUUGAAGCAUAUCAAGAAUACAUCCAAGAGGUUGUGCAUGAGACAAUCAAGCCCAAAGCAGUUGAGUUUGAUGACACAGGACAAGCCACAACCAUCAUAGUAAACCUGGCCAAGUUCAAAGUCCCGGAAAUGUUCAAAAAUGUGGUGUUUGUCAUUGAGUUUGUGUCGGAAAAAGAAAGUAAGCCAUCUUCUCCAAUUUCAAUUUUAAUUUAUACUAACAUGUUUCUGAUUUUGAUGAUUCAGGCACCCACUAUUGAAUUUAAACCAUUGCCGAAUCAUUUCAAGUAUCACCUCCCAUUAAAAGAUAAAUUCCAUGCUUUGGAGCCGAGGGGAAUUUAAAGGAAAGAUUCGUCCCGCUAAAAACGUUAAAUCAAGCGCUUCUUGGGAGGCAACCCAAGCAUUCAACGAAGGGAGACUUUGGAAUCGCUAACCAAAUCAGAUUUGAAUUCUUACACCCUUAUCUUUACUGCUUUCAUUUUGUUUUGUUUAGUUAGUUGUGUUAUUUGGUUGAUUUCUGUGAGUUUGUGUUAUUUAGUUUAAGUGUGGGGGAAAGUUAACCAAAGUUUUUUUUACAUUGAUUUACAUAUUUUACAUUGAUUAAAAAAAACAAAAAAAAAACAAAACACACCAAAAAAAUAAAAAUAAAUAAAAAUAAAAAACAUAAAAAAAAUAAAAAACAUAAAAAAAAAAAAAUAUCUUACAAUGAUGUGUAAACUAAUAGCUUUCAUUGGUCAGGUGGUGCUUCAGUAGUCGGCGGAGCUUCAGCAGUCGGCGGGACCACGGAAGGAGGAGGUAUCGGAGGUUGAUCAGUUGGAGCUUCACUACGCGGUGUAGCCCCAGAAGACGAAGGCAGAUGCUGUUGGAACAAACCCACAAACCUCCGAUGAUCAAGUAAAAUUUGACCAUCAGUGUCCUGCAUCUGGUCAAUUUUCCUCUUCAUGUUUGUGGCAUAACUGUGUGCAAGCUUAUGCAAUUGUUUAUUUUCAUGCUUGAGUCCUCUAAUCUCCUCUUUGAGACUCUGUAUUUCAGCCACCAACGAUUCAACGUGACGGGUUCGAGCAAAUAGGCGUUGGGCCAUGUUGGACACAGAACCCGCACACUGCACGCUAAGAGCCAGAGACUCCUUAACCGCCAAUUCAUCAGACCGUCUAGCGAGCAGUCUGUUAUCUCUGGGAGUGACAAGGUUCCGGGCCACCACCGCAGCGGUCGUGUCAUUUUUCAUCACCGAAUCCCCAACGGUAAGAGGACCGGUAGGGGAUAUGAAAGAUGGGCGCCAUAUGUUGUCUGGUGAAGGCGGAGCUGCCUCUUCACCAAUGUUCAAGUCAAAACGACGAUCGGACGGGCCAGACAUUUUCUGAAGGUGGUGAAGAAAGAAGAGAGUCGGACUGAUUAAGAUUUUGGAAGUUUACAGGAGGGAGUGUUUACAAGAGGGAGCUCAAGUGUGUUGUGGAACAAAAUUAGCGCCUCUAUAAAAAGAAGAAAUCGGAGAGGCGCUCCUCAGAGAAGCGUCCUCUCGCAAAUCGAAGAGUCGGGGCUCCUUUCUCAAAAGCCGGAUUCUUUUCUCAAAAGAGGCGUUGCAUUUCUCAAAAGCUGGGCUUGCUCAGAAACCACGAGCCGAACCCCGGAUUUCAAAAGAUCAAUUUGUCCAGACGUGUCGUCACUCGUCACAUGCAACUGGCAGCUUUGCGGAAAUUACGGGCAGCUUUGUCAGAAAGCGCGUAAUUUGUACUAUUCAUCCAUCCACCGGCUGCCGACAAUGAAUGAAAGAAUAGUUCCGGUUGUGAAGAAAAGUCCUAUAAGUAUCUACCUUCGCCUUCCACAGCAAAGGCACACCCUCUCAGCACUUCUUCCUCUCUGAAAUGGCUUUCCAACAAACCCUCUUAAGUCACUCUGUAUUUUUCAUCCCUUGGGAUACCCCUGCAAACAACCCAUCCAAAGCAAAAGUAUUUCAUAUCAUGAAGGUUGAAAGCAAGAGUAUCUCAUAUCAUGCUUUCUCCCUGUCCUUUUCCUUGUCUUUGUUUUACGACAAGGAGAAAGAGAGCAAUCAGCCAGCAUUUGGUAUCAAUCUUCCGAUCUGGAGCCAACUGCCUAGAACCCCUUCCUGAUUGCUUACCUAGCCUUGCUCUCGAGUACUCAUCUUCAUCAUUUUAUGCUUUCUCUUCGUCUACCACAUCUGCCUGGGGGACAGUAAGGGAAGUGAAAAUGAUACCUCGAAGCAUGUGGAGACAAUUCAGCUAGGGACAAGGAGAAAGAGAGCAAGAGGUGGGUACUUGGAAAGAUUGAAGAAAGAAACAGACCAACACCUCUCCCUCGUGCCUGCCCGUUGUGCAGAAGAAACAAGCAGAGAAGAAUGCAGCUCGUACAAUCAACUCAGCACAAGGAGUCCGAGCUGAAGAACAAGAGAAGCUGCCACAUCUGCUUGGAGAACAAAUAAGGAACUGCAACAUCACCAAAGAGAAAAGCUUCGCCGUACAAUAUCAUCAAAUCAUCACUUGCAAGUAAAAAGCUAAGUGUCACCCUGUUCAAGAGGAAAGCUGUGGAAAGUCAACAAGCACGACCAAUGAUCACUUAUUAGUUCUAUUCAUUGUCUUUUAUCGUGAUUUUCAAUUUUUCGUUUGCAAAUUUUUUUUUUUAUAUUUUCUUGUGUUACUUAACUGAAUUAUUUCUUUUCUUUGCAGGAACUUUUGGUUAUUUCCACCCUUGAAGUUGAUUGCAGAAUUUUAGCUUGGGGGUCAUCGCUUGAUUUUACUGCAACUUAGGGAAGUUUUCAGUCCAAUUGUUUUAUUUUGUUUCUUAUUAUUUAUUUAUUUUAUUUUUAUUUGCAUUAUAGUGUUUUCUGACAUUGGGGACAAUGUCCAGUUUAAGUUUGGGGGUAAAGAGUAUAAAAAAUGACCAAAUUGAAAUUUUUUGUACCUUCAACUACGAACUGGUUUCAUUUGUUUCUGUGUUGUUGCUUUUUGUUUUCUUAAUUAGUUUUGUUUUCUUUUAAAAAAAAGAAAAAAAAAAGAAAAAAAUCGGAAAAUUUAAAAAUCCAAAAAUAUUGUCUUGUUUCCCUUAUUGUUUGAAUUAGAUUUUUGUUAGUUUCCCGACCCAAUGAUAUAAUUGGAUCAAAUUUGAACCAUGAUCAUCAAGAACUUAGUUAACAUGUGUUUUGUGAAAUUCCUAAUUCUCUUGUUAGUUUUGUACAUGUUUGAUCAUCUUUGAAAAACCAAAUGCACAUAGCCUUGUUAAUGUGAAACUAAAGUAUGACUUAAAGCUUCAUAUGUGAAUUUAGUGACCAUAUACAUCCUAUGUGAGUUUUUGAGCCUAUUGAAAGUGUGUGCAUUUUUCAUACACUCCUAUUCUUUCAUGUGUGAUGAACUUAUGUGACAUACAUCUCUAGAACUUGCGUAACGAUCUUUCGAAAUGUUUGUCAUUGAUUGCAUGAACUUGGAAAUGAUAGAGGCAUUAGGUUUACCACCAUGACCCAAAUAACCAUGUUUCCCAAAGAAAAAUGAUAUCAUUAGAUUGCCAAUUUGAGCCGUGUAUGUUGAGCCUUUUAUUUCUUAUCACCAGAUAUGUCUACCCUUAUACCUGAAACAUUUUUCCUUACCCUUUCCAAGCGAGCAAUGCGAGAUUAUCUUAUGAGAAACGUUUGUGAAGUACUUUGAAGGUGUUUGGCAAAAGAAUAAGUGUGGGGGUAUUUCAUGUUUGUAUAUAAAAAAAAAAUAAUUAAAAAAAAAAAAAAAAAGAGAAAAGAAAAAGAAAGAUUGUAUACAAAUGAAAUAAAAAGUUUUUAAAGUUUCAGUUUUAGGGUGUGGAUGGAGGUGCUAGAAGAAUUGCUGGAGAGCUUGAGUUCUUAUAAAUCUAAAGAAAAGAAUUGCUUGCAAUGUAGCUUGGAACUUGUGUUUUCCUAUUCUUUCGUUUCAAUAACCCUAUCCCUAAGCCUCAUUACAUCCAAUAAAAGUCAUCUUGAUUUAAGUUUUGCAAUUAUGACUGUGGAGAAGUGAUCUUUAUGCAAGCUUAUGGUAGAAAUUUCACAUUUGAUUCUUUGAGCGAAACACAUUAAAACUAAACACAUAUGUGAUUGAGUGUAUAUCCCGUGAGAAGGUUACUAGUUUGCAUAUGAUGAUUUUAAAAAUAAAAACUUGAAAUUGCAUUAGCAUGGCUAUCUCACACACUACACUUCAAGGAUGAUUCAAAGAUUACUGCUAAUAUUUGAAUAAGGAAGAUGAACUUGGAUUAACUUGUUUGGUGCUAGCUAUGGUUCUUGAUGAUUUGUGUUCUCAAAUGAAAUUCUAUGAGGAUCACAUAGGGGGAAACUAAUGUUUUUCAUGUUAGUACUUUUUCAUGUUUUCUUUGUUUUGCUCGAGGACUAGCAAAAGCUAAGUAUGGGGGUAUUUGAUCGGAUCAUAUUUAUAUAUAUUUUUACUUCAAAUUCACUCGUCUUUUCUUAGUUAGUUCCUUAUAUUUUUGAGCUAUUUACGUUAUUUUUGUGUUUAUAGGAUUUGUUAUGCAAAGAAAAUAAAAAUAGAACAAGUGAAAUUUUAUGUAAUAAAUUCGUCAAAACUGUCUGUGUAGAUCAACUUUUAAAUUAAAUUAAAAAAAAAUAUAAUAAUGAUAAGUCAUGAUGAUGUUUCAUCAUGAUGGUUUUGUUUUGUAGAAGAAAAGAAAGGAACGGAUGGAGAAGAAGAAAAGAAAGGAAUAAAAAAAAGGAAAGGAAUAAAAAAUAGAUGAAAGAAGAAUAAGAGGGAGAGUAGGUCAGAGAGGUGGAGCACUGACGGAUUAAAAGAAGAAAAGAAGAGGAAGUGGACAGCAGUGCAGAGAGGAAAAAAAGGAAUAAAAGAAAAACAAAGGAAAGAAACAAGGGGGAGAGCGGAAAGAAUAAGAAAAUAAAGGGGAGAGAAGUGAGGGCAGAGGGCAGCACGGAAGGAAGAGGAGAGAACUGACAGGAAGCUGCCUUGCAGCACGAGAAGGGCGCAGACGGGUUGGGCAGCGAGAAAGGCAGAGAGAAGCAGCAAGGCUGCA
rnacentral:lncRNA from 1 species